UUUCCUACUCCGUCCCUUUCCUCGAUGUGUUCCAUUUCCUGAAGGAGGGAGGCGAAAGAAGAGCUCUCUAUCGGAUGCGUCGAUGCCUCCGCCUUAUUUUAGGUGAUCCGCCUCCUUCCUCUCGCUAUGGGUUCUUUUUGUGUGCUUCUCUCGGUUUUAAUGGAUGCGAUGAUUACACGAUGGUGCGGAACGGAUGAGAAAGAUGCAUCGUGUUUUUCUUUACAUGUUUGGUUGGUACACCGAGAAAAGGGCCACCACAAAUCAUAGGUAAACCAAGGAGAUCCCUGCUGAUGCCAUAGCGCAAUUCUCUAUGAUUCAUGUUAGAUUUUGCAUUAUUAGGAUUUCAGUUUUCUUGAACGUAGGAGGAUCGAGAUCUCGCAAUAUCUUAUGAUCCGAAGGCCUCUAGUUGUUUAAUGACUUAAAAUGUUCUUUCUUGUGGUGUGACAUGAUAAUAUAAAUGAAGGAUGGAUGACAAAGAUCGAUCAUGAAUGCAUCGUCGUUGUAGAAAGAAAUAAAACUUUUCUGCUAUAAGAUUGUGUGGAAAGGCUGAAAAGGACGCUGUGUAAGCCUUAGAAGGUCAUUCACUGACUGUCAUUUUGUAUGUAGGUACGUACGUAAGAUUAAUUAUGUUCAAUUACUUUUAAUUGAUCCAGCUUCUUUAUCUUGACCUCC